AGUUGAUCAACGUUAUACCUGUACCCAUCUUGAUGGCGAAAAUAAUCAUCAGUGCUGAACACAAUGCCAUCACGACUCUGACCAAGCAGAAUCCUGUUGUUAAAAGAAGUCAGAAAGGUCACUGCUCAACUUUGUUCAUGGUGGUCAGAUGGAUUCAACCUGGCACUUUGGACCCCUCAAGCUUGAAAAUCUUUUUGCAUUUUUUGUUUCUCACAAUAAUUCCAAAAAAUGUAAGUGGAAAAGAGUGACUUCCAAAUCAUCAUCAUCUUCUGCUUUCUUGGAAAGAAGCAUCUUUUUUAACCAGAGCACUGCUCAUCUUGUAGCAGAAUCCAAAAGGGAAGACCAGCACAGAAAACAACAUAGCAGUUGUUUCCAUCACCAGCGUAAUUGCACAUGGUCUAUUUUUAAAGCCCUAAACAGAACCUUUGUGAUAAAUAUAUAUGCCAAUUCUCCCUUCUGUCAGAAAACACCUUUACAUAGUAACACUACCAGAUGCCAUUUUCAAGUAUAACAAAUUAAAAAUCUACGAAAAACAUGAAAGCAUGUA